AAUGCCUGAUGAGGGCACUUUCUCAGCAUUUCCUUGUAUCGUUUUUAGGUUUCAUAGAGUGAUUCACCAUCUUUCUAGAAGAAAGAGUUUAUAUCAUUUCGUAACU